GCUCCUCGCCUGCGGGGAGAGAAGCGGGCGGUGAGAGCGGCGGGACGGCUUCGUCGGGACCGCUCCGUCGCCCCGCCGUCCCUCACCGUGCCGUCCCGCCGCGGGGCCGCGGCCCAGGAUGCCGUCGAUGAAGUAGGAGGAAACAGAAUUUGAGCUAUUGAAUUUCUUCUGGCCUCAAGAAUAUCUGUCAGAACCUCACUGAGGAAUGUGUUAUGUGCACAACACCUGCAUCACCCUCCUUCCCUGCAUGUUAUCUGCACACAUCUCUUUGCCCAGAGAGAAGAUCCUGAAUCUUGGAGACCAGAUAGUGGAACCCCAGUGAGAUCUCCCAAAGCCAAGAGCAACAGUGUGUUUUCCUGCAACUUUGUUCAACUAACCAAAUCCAAGAAUACACAAAACAGCAGAUAAAGCCCCAUUAUUUCCUUGCUAGUUUAGCAACAGCCAUCCAAUGCAGGCUGAUUUUUGUGAGAAGUAUUUUUCUCAGCAGAGCUCUUUACCAGAAAGCUGUUUUUCUUCCUACAGAUGUGUUUUUCUAGUGCUUUCUCUUUUGAAAUUGAGGUAAAAAUAGUAUUUGUCACUAAUGGCUGGAUGAGGCAGUUAGUCCUAUUUUGAGUUUUUGCACAUCGCUACAAGGUGCUUCAUUCAAUUAGGUUGGUUUUCUAGCAUUCCCUGUUUACGAUUAGGUGAAUCAUACUAUUCCUGGAACCUUUCAAGGAUGGAUAUAUUUUAGCCUUUAUUUCUCAGAUACAAUUGAAUCUUCCUUUUCUGUUUGGAUAUUUGAGGAUUCUUCAGGCAAAUCCCAUUUAUCCUGCUGAUUAGACUUCUGACGUAGUAUCUUGUAUUUCUGUUGUGUCUUCUUGUGAGCUGGAGAGCCUGUUUCAUACUUGCUGCCCAAUGCCAUUGAAAAAUGCCCAUAGAAAGAGUGAUCUAAGCGAUAUUUUCAUAGUUUUGUGUUUAACCAACCUUGCUGCUACUGCUUUCUUGCUUUUGUUUGGCUCCCAAAGUAAAAUGUGAGAGAUAAAUUACGACUUUUCCUUUUUUGAAAGUGUUGGAAAGAUGAAAGGCAGCGUAUGUGUGUGUUUGGAGAUGACGGUGGGGUUGGAACUUUGAGAGGCUCUCGAUACUUGCUGUAUUUGAAACGUUUCUUGGUUUGUUUUAAGAACACAUCAUGAGUGCCAGCAUUCUUUAUUGAACCUCAUAAAAAUGUGGCCUUGUAUUUAAAGAUUAAUACUUAGAUUUGUAAAGCAAAGCCUGUCCAUAAUCACAUUACAAGAAAAUUAUGAGAUGGAAUACUUGACAGGGUUAACAGGAGAAUCUUCCUGAAUGUCCAAGGAGUUUGUUUACCAGCUUAGCAGAGAUCUUCAGUGGCUUGAAGAUGAUGACCGCCUCCUUAGAUACUUCAGUGCAGAACUUGGAUGAAGGAGAAGCCUGACAAGAGCUCUGGAUCAACUUGAUGCCUUAGCAACUAGAUCCUGAAGGACGCUGAGCAUCUUUAAUGCCAAGGAAAUGUCUUUUACCAGAUGAUAUUCUUCAGUAUUGACUGGUCCUCCAGGGUUCCUUUAUUCAGGUA